CCUACGGGGGGCAGCAGUGGGGAAUAUUGGACAAUGGGGGGAACCCUGAUCCAGCCAUGCCGCGUGUGUGAAGAAGGCCCUCGGGUUGUAAAGCACUUUCAGUGAGGAAGAACGCCUGGUGGUUAAUACCCAUCAGGAAAGACAUCACUCACAGAAGAAGCACCGGCUAACUCCGUGCCAGCAGCCGCGGUAAUACGGAGGGUGCGAGCGUUAAUCGGAAUUACUGGGCGUAAAGCGCGCGUAGGUGGCUUGAUAAGCCGGUUGUGAAAGCCCCGGGCUCAACCUGGGAACGGCAUCCGGAACUGUCAAGCUAGAGUGCAGGAGAGGAAGGUAGAAUUCCCGGUGCAGCGGUGAAAUGCGUAGAGAUCGGGAGGAAUACCAGUGGCGAAGGCGGCCUUCUGGACUGACACUGACACUGAGGUGCGAAAGCGUGGGUAGCAAACAGGAUUAGAUACCCGAGUAGUC
rnacentral:rRNA from 1 species